rnacentral:rRNA from 1 species
GACGAGGGCGCGAGCGUUGUCCGGAUUUAUUGGGCGUAAAGAGCUCGUAGGCGGCUUGUUGCGUCAGCUGUGAAAACCCGCAGCUCAACUGUGGGCUUGCAGCUGAUACGGGCAGGCUUGAGUUCGGUAGGGGAGACUGGAAUUCCUGGUGUAGCGGUGAAAUGCGCAGAUAUCAGGAGGAACACCGGUGGCGAAGGCGGGUCUCUGGGCCGAUACUGACGUG